UAGCUCACCUGAGCAAUGCUCAGGGUGAGCUAUUGUGAUGGCCCUGUGUCCGUCGUCCGUCGUCGUGCGUCGUCAACUUUUGAACAUUAACAACAUCUCCUCUGAAACCAAUGACUGCACAUCAACCAAACUUUACAGAAAUGAUCCUUUGGUGGUCCCCUUUCAAAGUUGUUCAAAUGGUUCCGGUCUGUUGCAUAUGUAGGUCAUAGGGCCAGAAAAGGAUUUCAAAAAAACACAAAAUUAAAAAAUCUUCUUGUCUGAAAGUACAUGGGCCAGAGCUUUGAUUUUUGGUAUAUGGUAUCAUCUAUGGGUUCUCUACCAAAGUUGUUCAAAUUUUGUCCCUAGUGUCAAAAUUGGCCCCGCCCCGGGGGUCAUAGGUUUUUCUAAUAUGUAUAUAGUAAAACAUAAAAAAAUCUUCUUCUCUGAAUUGGCAAAGGCUACAGGUAAGAUAUUUGGCAUGAAACAUUGUGUGGUAGACCUCUACCAAGAUUGUUCAAAUAAUGGCCCUCGGGUCAAAAUUGGCCCCGCCCUCGGGGGUCAUUGAUUUUCAUUAUAUACAUAUAGUGAAAACUUGAAAAAUCUUCUGGUCUGAAAGUAAAUGG